UCGCUCCUACCGAUACCGGGUGAUGAGGUGAACUUUUUGGACUGAAUUUCAGGAAGAUACGUAAACCUUAUCACCUAGAGGAAGGAG
rnacentral:rRNA from 1 species